CUACGGGAUGCAGCAGUGAGGAAUAUUGCACAAUGGAGGAAACUCUGAUGCAGCAACGCCGCGUGGAGGAUGACGCAUUUCGGUGUGUAAACUCCUUUUAUAUGUCAAGAAAAUGACGGUAGCAUAUGAAUAAGCACCGGCUAACUCCGUGCCAGCAGCCGCGGUAAUACGGAGGGUGCAAGCGUUACUCGGAAUCACGGGGCGUAAAGGACGCGUAGGCGGGAUAGCAAGUCAGGUGUGAAAUCCUACAGCUUAACUGUAGAACUGCACUUGAAACUGGUAACCUAGAGUAUGGGAGGGGGAGAUGGAAUUAGUGGUGUAGGGGUAAAAUCCGUAGAUAUCACUAGGAAUACCUAAAGCGAAGGCGAUCUCCUGGAACAUUACUGACGCUAAGGCGUGAAAGCGUGGGGAGCAAACAGGAUUAGAUACCCUCGUAGUC
rnacentral:rRNA from 1 species